CAGUGGCGUGCUUUGCGAUAAAUCGAUUGAUCUGUCAUUUAAACCUAUGUAAAAGGAUCGAUAAACAGGGUGUUCACAGCGAACACCUUAAUAAUCGAUUCUUUACCACGGAUUCAAAUGGGGAAAUAUCGAUAAUCGAUCAUUCACGCCACGCCACUGCACUGGUAUAAAAAUCCCUUACUUAAUAAGUACAUUGAGGAUUUAGAUGAAUUAUACGCUCCCAAGAAUAUAUAAAGUAGUUACAUUCCUUAGUAGUUUCCAACAACAACAACAACAACAACAACAAAAGGUUCCGCUGUUGAGGUUAUGUACUUUUUCAAACAAAACUUCUUGGAGAUGCCAUGGCAUGAAAAAUGAUCAAAACGAUUGUCGUGUCACUAUGGAAAUUUCGGAAUCUCUACUAAAAUGAAAACCCAGGUAGCGUGAUGUUAAUAGUUUUACCCAUGAUUUUUAAUAGUUUUACCCGUGAAUAUAGUCUUUCGAAUAUUAUGAGUAUGUUCUUGCUGGUGUGCUACCUACGCUAAAUCUAACCUAAAAUGAGAAGAAUCUUCAUCAUGAGUAAGGUGACGUAAUACGGCGUUCAAUGCAAAGUGGCAUGAGCAGCGAUGCCUCGAUUUAGUAUUAAAUGGACGCGUCAAAAAUCUUCAACGUUUUUAUGAUACUUCUCGCAGCAAACGUGAAAUUUCCUAGGACCGCCGGGCAGAAUUUGCAGAUCUCCCAAGCAGAGCGCGCGGAGCGAAAAUUUCGAGUGAAGCGCCAGGUCCCAAACCAGUACAAUUUCAACAGCAACUCGACGCAAAACCAACUACCAAAUCUAAACAGGGUGUAUUUCAGCAACAUUCCGAUAGAGAGCGCUGUCGCGCAAAUGAAACAACGAAUUCCAAGCCGUUACUUCGCCCACACUAAUUCUUCACGAAACCAGCCACUAGACCGGUUCACGGUCAACUUACCGAUGGAUAGGAUUGUCGCAGAGAUGAAACAACAAUCCACAAACCAGUUCCAGUUACCGGACCCGGUUUCCAGGGAUUCACCGAUAGAUAGCGCUGUCGCACAGAUGAACGAACAGAUCGCGAACCCAUACAUCUUGUACCCUAACGCAACUUUUAACCAGUUUCCAGAUUUGGGCGGCGAGUAUUUUACAAAUUCCCCGAUGGAUGGCGCGGUUUCACAGGAUUUCCCGAUAUUCCAACCGGGAAAACCGGGUGCUGGCAACGUCAAGGACACGGUCACUGAUAACAGGAGCACGAUUUUCAACGUCCUCAUCUUGAGCAACUACCUGAGCUUAUCACCAUUCAGGGACGACCUCGGGGAUUCUGGGCUCGACGGGCGCGCGGUGUCCAAAUUCAAUUUUUCAGGGAAUGUCAAGGACUCGGCGGGACCCCGACUGGUCCCCAGGGUCAAAAACUCGACGAUAGUUUUCUUGGACGACGCCCGGCUCCCGAGCUACACGGGGAACGUGACGGACAGGAAUCGAGAGGAGAGCCGAAAAAAGUUCAGCUUCGAAGAUGUGAAUCUUGACAUGCGGAACCUGAAAGACCUGGUCAAUUUCAGGAGGAAACCGGUCCCUUUGGAGAUCUGUAGGGGUGGAGGUCUGCCGCGCGAUGUGGAAGACGCAUCGCAAUCGAAAGCGACGAUGGAUUUACCUGCAGUAUUCUCCAUUAGCUUGCUGUCCCUUCCAAAUGACACCUCCAAUCCGUCUUCGCUCCAGGUUCUCAAGACCGACCAGCGUUGGACCCGGGGCGAUACCCCGAGAUCACGCAGUUCCACGGCGACAACUCGUCUCUCAUCAUGAUCCGGCUCGACGAGGACAAGGACAAACGGCUACGGUUCGGCGGGGGCCUCGACCAGCCGGGGAUGAGGGGUCGCGGGCCAGUCCCUCCGAGGAAAUUCCGCAAAGAGAAGGGAUACUCCCUUCCGGGAAGGCGGGAGUCCGACGAGGAGCGGAACAUCACGGAGGACUUCCGGGAGAUGGAGAUGCACCUCGCGCAGAUCUCGAAACUCAUGGCGCGGAUAGAGAAGAAGAAAAAGCAAGCGGUCAGUAAUCGCUCGAUCCCACCGUGGGUGAAGAGCAGUAGGUGAAAUGGAGAUGUUGCAUGAGUGAAGAAUUUGCGAUUUGACUGUUGAUUCUAAUGUAAAAGUUCGCGAGAAACACGAUGAUGCCACUGGUUUUCUCUGAAAUCAUCUCCCAAGCUCAAAAAAAGCUCUCAAAGUGAGGCUAAAAUGGAGGGGAUAUCCCGCCUUACCCUGAGAGUCCACCUCUACAUAAAAAAAAACUCUCCAAAUACAUUGACAGGGCUGCCACUUCAUUCGGGGACUCCAAAACUGAAAACACGGCAACCCUGCUAAUGUAUUUGCCCCCUAUCUUUGCAUAAAGAGUUCGUUUUGAUGUAGAGGUGGACUCUCAGGAUAGCGUGGGAUAUACCCUCCAUUUUGGCCUCAACUUGAGAGCUUUUUUUGAGCUUGGGAGUUGAUUUCAGAGAAAACCAGUGGCACCAUCGUGUUUCUCGCGAAGUUUUACAUAAGAAUCAACAGUCAAAUCGCAAAUUCCUCACACAUGCAACAUCUCAAUUUCUGCGAAGUGGCUCAUUGGAGGAUCCAGCAAAUUGGCAACACUGUUUUUAUCCAUUUAAACCUAUGGAAAUGUAUCGAUUUUUGGAGGGGUUAGGUGCUCCAACAAGAAUCGAUAAUUUAACAUAGGUUUAAAGGAGGGAAUCCGGUGUUGCCAAAUGGGUGGAUCCGCCUCUGGUGGUGCUCUGUGUGCAGCAAUGUAGUUUUAGAUGAAACAGCGAGGAGAAAAAAUCUUCGGUUGCGCGGACCUUUCGGUUCAUGAGGAACACCGAUGUUUUCAGUCCGGACAACCAAAGUUCCCAGUCAUGAAAACUGAAUUUCUGUUCACACGACCGGAUGAGUAUUCGGUAAAAAUUACGAGUCUUGGUAUGGCUUGUGUCCACGCCAAAUGAGGGGCUUGGAGGACAAGGCGCAUAAAAGCAGUUUUUGAAAAAAAUAUGGAUAUGAAUGAUUUCAAAUAAAUCUAGUUUUAAUGCAUAUUCUGUGAAAAAUUUGCUCCCGAAUUCCAAUUUUUAAGUAUCAAAAAGUCAGUUUGAACUAUCUUUCUAUCAUGAGGAUCCGUGUAAUUUCGAAACUUCAAACACGUAUUUCUCGAAAUGGCAGAAGCUGCAUGCACUCAUGCGUCCUGUCCUCCAAGCCCCAUAAAUAAGUUUACGCACAUUUAGACUGCGACAGAGGAUCGUCUAACGUCACUUUCGCAUGUAAAUGAAAUGGAAGAAUCAAAAUGGCGGAUCAUCUGUCGCAGUUAAAAGAGCGUUCAAAACUAAUUUGGCGUGCGGACUCGAGCAAAAACGUUGGUCACCAGCGGGCCGAUUAUUGAAACUGAUAGACAAAGCUAUAGACAAAGACGACAAAAGAGACAUGGAGGGAUCCUAUUGGUGGAAGCGGGUGGUUGAUAUAGACAAAGGAGGUAGAUAAUAGACUAACUAACGGCAACUCACGAGAGACCCUUUCGUUAGUCCAUCAUUUACCCCCUUAGUCUGUAAGAACCACCCGAACUAACCGAUAGGAUCGAUCCAUAUUAUUAUGUCCUCUUUGUCUAUCAAUUUCAACAAUCGGGCCGCAGCGGGCCGAUUAUUGAAACUGAUAGACAAAGCUAUAGACAAAGACGAUAAAAGAGACAUGGAGGGAUCCUAUUGGUGGAAGCGGGUGGUUGAUAUAGACAAAGGAGGUAGAUAAUAGACUAACUAACGGCAACUCACGAGAGACCCUUUCGUUAGUCCAUCAUUUACCCCCUUAGUCUGUAAGAACCACCCGAACUAACCGAUAGGAUCGAUCCAUAUUUAUUAUGUCCUCUUUGUCUAUCGCUUUGUCUAUCAAUUUCAACAAUCGGGCCGCAGCGGGCCGAUUAUUGAAACUGAUAGACAAAGCUAUAGACAAAGACGACAAAAGGGAUUUGGAGGGAUCCUAUUGGUGGAAGCAGGUGGUGGCAAUGGACAUAGGAGGUAUGUAAUGGACUAACUAACGGCAACCCACUAAAGACCCGACAGUUAGUCCAUCACUUUCUUCCUUAGUCUAUGAGAACCAACCAUGUCAACCCAUAAGAUCGCUCCGUACUCCCUAUGUCUUCUUUGUCUAUUGCUUUGUCCAUCAGUUUCAAUAAUCGCCCGCUGGACCGAUGGCUUCGAUGUUUCAUAAGAACAGAAGUUGUUGUUCUUCGUGCAUGUAAACUUACAAUUGUCAUCGUACGAUUUUAUUUUUUGCUUUAUAUCUACUCGCAAUAUCCUCUCCCGUAGGUGCGAAAUAAAAUAAGUGCGGUGCGCUUUUCCGCUUGUUUAACUGUAAAACUAUGACGAUUAAGAAAUGAAAGGCUUGAAGUCGGUUUCGGUAUUUUUCUUCAGUGAAAAUGUUCUACUAAGAACCUUCUAAACCUCAUUUGUAGAUAAUAAAUAGUUAAAAUUACGUUGUUCCACCAUUAUGAGGACAACGAUUAUUGUUAACAUUGAAGAUACAGUAAUAAAAAUAUUUUAAUUUUUAAACAACGAAAUUCCACUUGUACUCUUCAAUUAAUAAUUUUAUAGGACAGGGUGUACAGGAUGUCUACUAAAAUUUUAUUUUGGAUUAUCCUGAUGUUUGAUCUGAAAUUCCCUGACUUUUGCGUGAACAAAUUGAUACGCAUAUGAUUUAAGAAAUAAAAUAUUCGAUGGAUGACUAAAAUGUUUGAAAAAUGCUUGAAGCACUCAGAACAUCUGGAUCCAUGACCGAUUUUCCUAAUAUGUUCGUGAUCUUUCGUAAUGAAAUCAAAUUUCCUGA
rnacentral:lncRNA from 1 species